CUUCGAUCUCCUCCAUGUUCAAGCCAUCAGCUGCCCACAGCUCCGCCAGUUCGUCCGCCGGCUUCAUCAGCUGCUGCCCUGGGGACAGGUCGGGCAGGAAGGGCGGCCAGCCCGGUGUGUUGAGCCAGCGAUCGAACUCCAGACCUGGGCGCGACUCCACGCCUUGCUGCUUCAGGUCGGGGAAGUAUUCCAGGAAGAAGCCGAGGGCAUCG
rnacentral:lncRNA from 1 species